GGAUGUGAGCCCAUCUGGCUGUGACUCUGCCACUCCCAUGAUCGCCAGGGUGAUUCAGCUGAACUGGGUGCUAGAUCAAUGUCCUUUUCCUCCCUCGCUGCUCCAUGUGCAGCGCCCCCGAAGCUGUGAUCUAGGUCAAUGGCAAUGACCUUCUGGAUAGAGGAAAAAAUAGUUCUACUGA
rnacentral:snRNA from 1 species